GAGGAUUUAGCUUAAUAAAAGUAGUUGAUUUGCAUUCAAUUGAUAUAAGAUAGUGUUCUUGUAAUCCUU
rnacentral:tRNA from 1 species